GUUUUCUGUACAAAGUUAACGUAAAAUUGAAAACUAGACAAAAAGGCGGAAGUUCAAUCUUUAUUUCGGGGUAGAAUGGGGAUUUUUCCUAAACACAUUCCAUUCCUAGAUUACAAACUACAAACAUGUGUGAACAAAAUUGAUCAUUGAGAAAUGAAACGAGACGUUGAAAAUUUGGCAACACGGAUACUUUGCUAUUACCAAC
rnacentral:lncRNA from 1 species